GGCCUCGUAGCUCAUCUGGUAGAGCAUGCACGUACAAAGCGUAGGCGGCGUCCAUGCGUGGGUUCGAAUCCCACCGAGACCA
rfam:Echinostoma caproni strain Egypt genome assembly, scaffold: ECPE_scaffold0000005